rnacentral:rRNA from 1 species
UCUACGGGAGGCAGCAGGGGGGAAUAUUGCACAAUGGGGGAAACCCUGAUGCAGCCAUGCCGCGUGUAUGAAGAAGGCCUUCGGGUUGUAAAGUACUUUCAGUCGUGAGGAAGGGUGAGCAGUUAAUAGCUGUUUAUCUGACGUUAGCGACAGAGAGA